rnacentral:rRNA from 1 species
GUCCUACGGGAGGCAGCAGUGGGGAAUAUUGGGCAAUGGGCACAAGCCUGACCCAGCAACGCCGCGUGAAGGAAGAAGGCUUUGGGGUUGUAAACUUUUUUUGUCAGGGACGAAGCAAGUGACGGUACCUGACGAAUAAGCCACGGCUAACUACGUGCCAGCAGCCGCGGUAAUACGUAGGUGGCAAGCGUUAUCCGGAUUUACUGGGGGUAAAGGGCGUGUAGGCGGGACUGCAAGUCAGAUGUGAAAACCA